UCCUAUUCUUUUUUAUCGCCUCACGGCAG
rnacentral:sRNA from 1 species